rnacentral:rRNA from 1 species
UACGAAGGGUGCAAGCGUUAAUCGGAAUUACUGGGCGUAAAGGGUGCGUAGGCGGUUCGUUAAGUCUGUCGUGAAAUCCCCGGGCUCAACCUGGGAAUGGCGAUGGAUACUGGCGAGCUAGAGUGUGUCAGAGGAUGGUGGAAUUCCCGGUGUAGCGGUGAAAUGCGUAGAGAUCGGGAGGAACAUCAGUGGCGAAGGCGGCCAUCUGGGCCAUUACUGACGCUGAGGAGCGAAAGCGUGGGGAGCGAACAGG